CGCUGUUUCUCUGAUUCUCUCUUGCCAACAGAGAGAAGCAGAGGAGAUCAUUCAUCCUAUUGUAGAAAAUGGCCGGCAAUGGAGGAGUUGCUCGCAGGUGUAGGAGAAGCUAUGUUGCGUUCAGGGAGACGAGCUUCUUGGACAGGAGGAAAACGCGAACCAAUCUCCGAAACGUUUCGAUGAUCCCUCUCUUCAAAAGGCCCCUCUUCUAUCCUCGAUGGCGAUUGCUUAGUGGAAGCAACCGCAUUUUGAGCAUGGAUGCUCGAGAAAAAUCAAAAUCCUUAAUAUUGGAAUCAUCAAAGCAUAAGAGGGUCCCCAUAUUUGUCAUGACGCCUGUGGACACAUUUUGCAUCGAUUCUUCUGGGAGUCCAAGGAUCAGAAAAAUCAAGGCCUUAACUAUAUCUCUAAAAGCACUCAAGUUGGCAGGUGUCUUGGAAUUGCAGUAGAGGUUUGGUGGGGAAUCGUUGAGCGUUCUUCUCCUCUUGAAUAUAAUUGGUUCCUUUACGAAGAGCUUUUCAGAUUGGUAUCUGAGUCGGGGCA
rnacentral:misc_RNA from 1 species